UACGUAGGGGGCAAGCGUUGUCCGGAAUCAUUGGGCGUAAAGCGCGCGUAGGCGGCUCGAUCAGUCUGCUGUGAAAGUCAAAGGCUCAACCUUUGAAUGCCGGUGGAUACUGUCGAGCUAGAGUCCGGAAGAGGCGAGUGGAAUUCCUGGUGUAGCGGUGGAAUGCGCAGAUAUCAGGAGGAACACCAACGGCGAAGGCAGCUCGCUGGGACGGUACUGACGCUAAGGCGCGAAAGCCAGGGGAGCAAACGGG
rnacentral:rRNA from 1 species